rnacentral:rRNA from 1 species
UACGGGGGGGGGCAAGCGUUUGUUCGGAAUUACUGGGCGUAAAGAGCUCGUAGGCGGCUCGUUGCGUCGGCUGUGAAAACCCGCAGCUCAACUGUGGGCUUGCAGCCGAUACGGGCGGGCUUGAGUUCGGUAGGGGAGACUGGAAUUCCUGGUGUAGCGGUGAAAUGCGCCGAUAUCAGGAGGAACACCGGUGGCGAAGGCGGGUCUCUGGGCCGAAACUGACGCUGAGGAGCGAAAGCGUGGGGAGCGAACAGG